GACGAACGCUGGCGGCGUGCUUAACACAUGCAAGUCGAACGGAAAGGCCCUGCUUUUGUGGGGUGCUCGAGUGGCGAACGGGUGAGUAACACGUGAGUAACCUGCCCUUGACUUUGGGAUAACUUCAGGAAACUGGGGCUAAUACCGGAUAGGAGCUCCUGCUGCAUGGUGGGGGUUGGAAAGUUUCGGCGGUUGGGGAUGGACUCGCGGCUUAUCAGCUUGUUGGUGGGGUAGUGGCUUACCAAGGCUUUGACGGGUAGCCGGCCUGAGAGGGUGACCGGCCACAUUGGGACUGAGAUACGGCCCAGACUCCUAAGGGAGGCAGCAGUGGGGAAUAUUGCACAAUGGGCGGAAGCCUGAUGCAGCAACGCCGCGUGCGGGAUGACGGACUUCGGGUUGUAAACCGCUUUCGCCUGUGACGAAGCGUGAGUGACGGUAAUGGGUAAAGAAGCACCGGCUAACUACGUG
rnacentral:rRNA from 1 species